GAUGAAGAACGUAGCGAAAUGCGAUAAGUAGUGUGAAUUGCAAAAUUCAGUGAAUCAUCGAAUCUUUGAACGCACAUUGCGCCCCUUGGUAUCCCGAGGGGCAUGCCUGUUCGAGCGUCAUUUCACCACUCAAGCCUGGCUUGGUGUUGGGCGACGUCCCCUUUGGGGACGCGCCUCGAAACGCUCGGCGGCGUGGCACCGGCUUUAAGCGUAGCAGAAUCUUUCGCUUUGGAAGUCGGGGCCCCGUCUGCCGGAAGACCUACUCGCAAGGUUGACCUCGGAUCAGGCAGGGAUACCCGCUGAACUUAAGCAUAUCAUAAGCGGAGGA
rnacentral:misc_RNA from 1 species